UUGAGUGUGUUGGAGUUGGAGAGAGAAGAAGACUUAAGAAGUCUUUAGAUCUUCUUGAUCAGGAUGUACUGUGUUCCUAGCCGAAGGACACCAUCUGGGUGUAUGUGGCUUGGGCAUGAGAUUGCAGAGGAGGGAUCUACUUGGGGCAGGUCAUAGCAGCACUCGCUGUCUUGAGUUCAGAGCAUCUUCAGUAAAGUGGGGCAAAGUGUGGCCUGAAUCCCUUGGCUGAAGCAGGAACCUGGAUUGCUUGGGUGAAGGCGAGUCAAUCUGAGUCUGUUUUCCUUUGGAUGUAGUAGCCAGGAUACAACUCACUGCAGCUAAAGCCUGCAGUUUCUGGGGUUGAAGGAGUAGGAUUUAUUUCCUUCUUCCACUAGCCAGAGUUAUCAGACCCAGGGAGGUGAAGGUAGUGCAUCUGGUCUGUCAGAAUGGUAAUGCCAGUGUGAUUUCCAGAGCAUUCCCAUGCUUCCUCCUUCCUGUCUUCUCAGAACACUCUCUUUUUCAGGAAAACAGCCCCAAAGAGGACUGAUCCUCUCCUGCAAUACUGACAGUCAUGGCCCAGGGAUCAGUGGUGUUCAGUGAUGUGUCCGUAGACUUCUCUCAGGAGGAGUGGGAGGGCCUGGCACCUACUCACAGGGACUUGUACAGGGAUGUGAUGCUGGACAAGUACAGCAACCUGGUGUCUGUGGGGCUUAACAUUCCUAAGCCUCAAGUUAUCUCCUUAUUGUUGUUACAAGGGAAAGAGCCCUGGGUCGUUGGCAGAGAGCUGAUGAGAGGACUGUGUUCAGUAUAAAGAAGUAAAGGCGCAAGAAGCACGUGGUUAUUGAAAAUGCUUCAGAAGGCAAAAUAAAACGUAAGGCAGAAAUACUUCCACAAGUUGAGAAUCACGAAGUAUCAAGAAUGAACUAACUCUAUAGAUGACCACUUCAUGCUGUUACAAAAGAAAAAUCUAAAGUGAAAGCAUUACAGAUGGUACCUAGCAGAAUUUGAAUUAUACUGUAGCUAAUAAACAAAAAAUUGUGACUGUUUAUUCUGUGUUUAGGAAAUGAGUGCUUGGACUCGAGAUAGAAGAAAGUCUUACAAAUGGAGACUUUGUCCUAAUUUGGUACUUCAAGCAAUCUUCUUCAGCUUUAUUAUGCCUUCACUGCAAAUUUAGUCAGCAUUCAUAACAAAUUAUAUCUCUGUCAGGCUUUAUCAUUCAUUGAGCAUUUUUAUGUAAUUUGAUUCAUUCGUGAUCAUGCAUUCUAUGAGGUAGAAUAUACAGAAGUUCAAAGAAGUUUAACUUUGCAAAAGACCAUACAUGCUGUUAAUAACUUAGCUGCUUAUUACCUAAAACCUCUUGGAAAAAUGAUUGUUUUGAGGGCUUGCAGAGCUGAGGACUAGAUAAAAAUUCAGACUGAUGGCAUGGACCCUAAUUAUCCUAUCUUUGUAUAAAUCCACCUCUGUGGAUGUAAAUCUGGGGAACAACUUAUUUUUUUAAAAUCUCCAGGUGAUUCUUAUGGAGAAUUAUGAAACCUUGACUAAUCUAGUCCUUCCUGGGUGGGUGAAUGCAUCCACAAGUCCAUAAAUAUUAGUAUUUCAUUUGAUAGCUGUUGACUUGAGAUAGGGUUGCCACAUUUAGCAAAAAAAUACAGAUCUCCCAGUUAAAUUUGAAUUUCAAAUAAAUAUUUAUUGUUGGGGAAAUACUUAUACUAAAAACUUAUUCAUUAUUUAGCUGAAACUAAAACAACUUGGCAUCCUGAAAUUUAUAUGUCAAUCUAAACUUGGAAGAAAUUAUCAUAAGCAUCAUUCCUUUCAGUAUUUUUGACUUAAACCAUAUUUGAUCAUAAGCUUUCAAAAGAUAAGUGCUAUCUUUGCUUCAGUGUUGUAAUAUUCCUUUGAUGUUAUUUAGUCCCAACAUGAGCCCUCAAACUCUGUAUCCAGCGUCCUUUUCAAUUCUCCCAGCCUCCUCGACCAACACUUGGCCCUAUAGGUUCUGAAUAUGCCUCCUUUGCCUUCUUUUCCACCUGAAAUAUUAUCCUUACAGUCUAUUUCUAAUCCCCCCAUGCACUGAUUCCUCUCCUCAAAUCAUGACUACACAUUUCUGUCCUUGCCCUCCCACACCAAAUUGUUUGUUUCCUUUGGCUGCAUUCCAUUUUUCUUUCUAUAAUUUGUUAUGAAGCUGCCUUUUGCAGAGUCUUGCUAGUCCUUUACAUAAACUAAUUCUUGAUAACAAACAGAAAGAAGAGCUUUUAAUUCUCUUCUUACUGAUAAGGAAAAUGAAGCUUGCAGAGCAAAAACUGAAAUGUUUCAGGCCACAUCACUAAUAUGCUUUAUAAUACAAUCAGAAUUUGAACCAAGUUCUUAGCUGAGUCCCAACCUCAAUUUUUUCCACUGCAUCAAAGAGUUUAAAUGUCUGUCUUUCCCAAUAUAGUUUAAAUUCCUAAUAGUCAAACCCAUACAACUCCACCCAUGUCCCUGUCCCCUGACAACUACUAAUCUGUUCUGUCUGUAUAGUUUUGUCAAUUGAAGAUGUUCUAUAAAUGGAAUCGCACAAAAUGUCCCUUUUGAUAUGGCUUUUUUUCAUUAAGCAUAGUGCCCUUCAGUUCUAUCCAAGUUGUUACACAUAUUGAUAAUUAAUUCCUUUUUAUUAGUGUUAUUCUAUUGUUAAUAUGUUUUCUUAGAUUCUGUUUGUCAGUUUGCCAUCCAUUCAUCAAAAAGCCAUUUAUAUUACCUGUACUUUCUUAUUUUCUGUGGUCUUGGUGCUCUGGCAUUUGGGGGCAUUACAGACCUCCUUCCGAUGUCUGGCCAAUACUUAGUGAUAGCAAGGUCUUGGCCAGAAGCAUGCUUUUCAUAUACAAACCAACCAAACCAUGUCCUUCAUAUACAAACAUCCCAAGGCAGUAGUUCCCUUGCUCUGAAUCAUCCCAGGGCCUGGUACCAGGCAGCUAGAGACUGCUGCUGUGUUAAGAAAAAAACUGGGUAAAAAAGAUUGGUUUUAUUCAAGGAUUCAUGAAUUGGGACCUCCAAUCUAGUGGGUAGAAAGGAGCUAGGACAACUAUACUAGGGAAGAGAUUUUAGAGACAGAAGGGUGCAGGAACAAAGAAAUUGUACUGGUAUCUUCUAGGUUGUAGCAUAUUUCCAUGUUCAAUCUUCAUCAGUCUUUCAGUCUUACAUGUUUCAGGACCACUUCCUGGUUGUAUUCAUGAGCAGCACAAUGAUCUGUUCCAUUGUACCCUAUAAGUUGUUCUCUUGUAUUCUCUAAUAAUUUUAUGAAUGCUCUUGAUACAAUGAGAUCUCUGUGACCUGGAGGAAAGCCCUCUUCCAAUUGUGCUGGCGCUCCAGUCUCAAAUUUCCAGCCUUGAGAACUGCUCAACAAGAUUCAAGAGGAGGGACCAUUGGCUUUCUCCCCAACUCAAAGAACAUCUGUGAGAUGGGGAGAUUAUGACUAUUUGGAAAAAAUAAGCAGCCACAACACUCUUGCCAGAAGCACAUUGUGUAGGAGAUAGCUUUUUCUGCUCUUGAUUUUGGAUUUGGCCAUGUGACUUGCUUUGGCCAAGGAGCCAGCUUCCAUCUGGGUAUUUCUUGCGACUCUUGCCUUAGAACCUUGAGCUGCAAUGUAAGAUGUCUGAGGCUACCAUGCUGGUUAAGGCAACCAGACUAGACCCAUGGAGAAACCCUGGUAUUACAUGAAAUAAGAGAGAUGUCCAGUUGCUCUGGAACUUCACACUGUUCCAGGUUCAGCUAUCAUGAAGUCCUGAGUCAGAACUGUCCAGCCAGUCUGAUUCUGAAUUCCUGACCCAGAGAAACCAUGGAAGUUAAUCAAUGGUAGCUGUUGUUUGAAACCAUUAACCUAGAGACAUUGAAUGUAAAGACAAUGCCAGCUCAUUCAUGACAUAUGACAACAGAACUCUGACCCAUAAACUGCGGCAAACACCUCGUUUUCGGGAAGGAAACCAAGCUACAACCUUGGCAGCAAUCAGUUCGAAACACUCAGGACUUGGUGACGGCCAGCUUCCCUGUUUUUUUUUUUUUUUUUUUUGCCUCUGCUUCCAGUUCAUGACCAACCAGAGAAAGCCAUACCAAUUCCCAAAUCAGUAACAUAAGAUGCACUGCUCCUAGUUAAGCCCACCUCCGACUUCUCUAUGCCAGUGACCUCCCAUCAGAGUAACCCUAGAGACGGCCCUUUCUCACUCCGCUCUCCUGCAUGCUUUGGAGUCUCUGCCAAACACAGGUGAUAGCAGCUGUAGCGCCGGUAAUUUGAAACAACCCGUCGAUAACACGACAAGACAUAAAUUACAUACAUAACAUGUAAAAGUUUAAAAAUAUUGCAGGAAGAACAUAAUGUUCAAUAUCUAUUUGGUUUUAAAAGCAGCUUAGGAAGACAUAUAUGAAAUGAUACAAGCUUAAAUAUAGCUAUGUCUGAAUGGAGAAAUUACAGGCAUUGUUUAUUCCUGAUUGUGGACAGCACGUGGAGGCUCCAGUGUUAUGGGGUUUGGGCGCCCAGCCUCCGCAAGAGGGAUGCUCCUAGGUGAGACUCUGAGCUCACCUGUAGCGGCCUCGCCACGCCCGCGCCGCACCUUGGGGCGGGGCUUCGGUCGCGCCCCCG